GACGCACUUCACGCGACACUGAGGCUGUCGAGCUAUCGUCACGGGUGGAUGCGACAGCGGAUGCUGGCCACCCCCUAGGAUGCCAUCCCGCAUCCACUCCCCACCCCCGACCAGGAGGAGACGGGCCAUGAGUCAGAUUUCAACAUUAGAGCCACCGCAUCUCCCUAAGAGGGUGAGGCCCAG
rnacentral:lncRNA from 1 species